UACGUAGGGUGCGAGCGUUGUCCGGAAUUAUUGGGCGUAAAGAGCUCGUAGGCGGUUUGUCGCGUCUGCCGUGAAAGUCCGGGGCUCAACUCCGGAUCUGCGGUGGGUACGGGCAGACUAGAGUGAUGUAGGGGAGACUGGAAUUCCUGGGUGUAGCGGUGAAAUGCGCAGAUAAUCAGGAGGAACACCGAUGGCGAAGGGCAGGGUCUCCUGGGCAUUAACUGACGCUGAGGAGCGAAAGCAUGGGGAGCGAACAG
rnacentral:rRNA from 1 species